ensembl:lncRNA
CCUCUCUAUUGGACAAGUCCUACUCUGUAGAGCCCCUAUCUGGAUUUGGGACUACUGAAGAGUCUUACAGUCUGAGUCCUGCUGGUCCUACUGACACAGGAGGAUAUGUGUGUAGAGCUGGGAGAGGAGACCCAGUCUAUUACACAGACUACAGUGAACCUCAGUUUCUCUGGUCAGGAGACACAGGGGACAGUGGAGUGUACUGGUGUGAGUCUGGAUCAGGACAGUACAGUAAUGCUGUCAACAUCACAGUGUCUGGUAGGUCCAUGAGGCAGUCAUUUUAUUAUUCUGAGGGUUGAGCAGGAAGCGGAAGAGGCAAAAAGGAAAACAACAACACAACGAUAAUGCAGCUUUAGGAUUAGUCUCAUUUAUAGAAACCCACACGGUUCUCCAACAAAGAAACAACAAUCCAUACAUAAAACAUCACAAACUACAUUUAUAUACAGAAGUAAAUAGGUGAUUGGGAGCAGGUUUGUCCGUGGGGUGUGUCUCUGACAUCAGUCUCCUGCUGGUGGUUAGUACACCGAUGAGGUGGAGCACUGGAGAGGAGCAGGUGUUACACAACAUCAUGAGGAGCAGGUGUUACACAACAUCAUGA